rnacentral:rRNA from 1 species
AGUUUGAUCCUGGCUCAGAUUGAACGCUGGCGGCAUGCUUUACACAUGCAAGUCGAACGGCAGCGCGGGGGCAACCCUGGCGGCGAGUGGCGAACGGGUGAGUAAUGCAUCGGAACGUAUCCUGUAAUGGGGGAUAACGUAGCGAAAGUUACGCUAAUACCGCAUACGCUCGAGAGAGGAAAGUGGGGGAUCGCAAGACCUCACGUUAUAGGAGCGGCCGAUGUCCGAUUAGCUAGUUGGUGGGGUAAAGGCCUACCAAGGCGACGACCGGUAGCUGGUCUGAGAGGAUGAUCAGCCACACUGGGACUGAGACACGGCCCAGACUCCUACGGGAGGCAGCAGUGGGGAAUUUUGGACAAUGGGCGAAAGCCUGAUCCAGCCAUGCCGCGUGCGGGAAGAAGGCCUUCGGGUUGUAAACCGCUUUAGUCCGGGAAAAAGGGGUGCGAGGAUAAUACCCUCGUGCUUUGAUGGUACUGGAAGAAUAAGCACCGGCUAACUACGUG